GCCUUUUGUUAUUUGCACUCGCAUUGUGUUGUUUGUCUCUGAAGCCGCCUCAUGACCAGCAAAGGGAUUUCACCUCGUCCUUGAGAGCAACACGGGGAGCGCGAGCGAGCGGGCGAGCGAGAGACGGGGGGAGAGAGAGGGACACGCGCGCGCACACACACACACACCGGCACACACGCACACACACAGACACACACACACAGAGUGAAAAAGGCGAGCCACCAAAACCCAUCUCCAGUCUCCUCCCGGGGGCCCCCAGCCCGCCUCUGUGCCACUUUGCAUCCCACGCCGGAGGAGGCAUUAACGAGACCGGGCUUUUUAAACGGUCCAAGGUGUAGAGCCAUACUUCAGGAGGAUCCUCAGAAGUUUUGGACAAGCCUCCCCAAAUGUGGCAGGUGCUGUGCUGGCCAUUGGUGACCCAAAGAUGAUGAAAAAUAUGUUCCUGCCCACAAGGAGUUAGCGACCUACUGGGCUUUCCUCUUGCUGAUGACAUGAUUCCUGUUUGAAUCUGUUGACAAGAUUCUGAAAGCUGAACAGAGAAUUCUGGCACUGCACUGGGUAGGAAAAAGCAUUUCAAGAAAUAGAUAAUAUCAAGGACAUCAGGACACCGGGAGUGGGAGAGAUUGGACUGGGAGACUCAGCAGGGUCUCGUCCUGUUACCCA
rnacentral:lncRNA from 10 species